rnacentral:pre_miRNA from 1 species
UUUGUACUCCCUCCGUCCGGAAAUACUUGUCGGAGGAAUGGAUGUAUCUAGAUGUAUUUUAGUUCUAGAUACAUCUAUUUUUAUGCAUUUCUCCGACAAGUAUUUCCGGACGGAGGGAGUACGUU